UUGCACGCUGGCGGCAUGCCUUACACAUGCAAGUCGAACGGUAACAGGUCUUCGGAUGUUGACGAGUGGCGAACGGGUGAGUAAUACAUCGGAACGUGCCCAGACGUGGGGGAUAACGAGGCGAAAGCUUUGCUAAUACCGCAUACGAUCUAAGGAUGAAAGCAGGGGACCGCAAGGCCUUGUGCGUUUGGAGCGGCCGAUGGCAGAUUAGGUAGUUGGUGGGAUAAAAGCUUACCAAGCCGACGAUCUGUAGCUGGUCUGAGAGGACGACCAGCCACACUGGGACUGAGACACGGCCCAGACUCCUACGGGAGGCAGCAGUGGGGAAUUUUGGACAAUGGGCGAAAGCCUGAUCCAGCAAUGCCGCGUGCAGGAUGAAGGCCUUCGGGUUGUAAACUGCUUUUGUACGGAACGAAAAGGCUCUGGCUAAUACCUGGGGCACAUGACGGUACCGUAAGAAUAAGCACCGGCUAACUACGUG
rnacentral:rRNA from 1 species